CAGGUGACCUCGGAUCAGGAGACCA
rnacentral:rRNA from 1 species